rnacentral:tRNA from 1 species
GCACUCGUAGCUCAAUUGGAUAGAGCAUUAGCCUUCUAAGCUAAGGGUUGUAGGUUCGAGUCCUACCGGGUGUACAA